UUUAGAUUUUAUUAGUGUGCAUAUGAUACUGUUUGAUUUGAUAUUUGAAGAAGGUAUUUAACACCGUCUAAGUACUUUAAUACAUCCAGGUGUACAUUAUUGUUUGAAGAUGAAAAGGGUAUUUUUUCACAUGAUAUAUGUUUUACGAUAUCAGUUUAUUCAGUAUUCCUUUCAUACCGCAAAGAAAAUACAAAGUUUCACAUGAUACUUAACUUUUAGGAAGACAACCUUUAGAGGAUCCGAGACAUUGUUGUCGAAUUAGAUAUCCCAUCAAGUGAAGAAAAGUUCAAGUGAACCUAUAUUCAAGCGACCAUGCGCGUCUCCAAACACCAUCGUCGUUACCGAAAUUUAAGAAGGGACUCGAUUUACUAAGAGAAUUGUUUUGGCAACUCGAAGGAUAUGCAUCUUUAAAGGGACUCGACUAUCUUUAAAUUGUAUUUCCACUUUGUCAUUAAUUCAUGCAAGAUAACACUUUGUUUGUAUUUUUUUUAUUUGAACACUUAAUAUUUACCUAAUUAUUUUUUUCCAGCCCGGGAAGCAAUCCCGGAUGAUAACCUCGUUGGCUGAUAAAUAAAUAUUAAAACUCUUCU
rnacentral:lncRNA from 1 species